rnacentral:rRNA from 1 species
UACAUGGGGUGCAAACGUUGCUCGGAAUUAUUGGGCGUAAAGCGCACGUAGGCGGUUUGUUAAGUCGGAUGUGAAAUCCCUCGGCUCAACUGAGGAAGUGCAUCCGAAACUGGCAGGCUUGAGUACUAAAGAGGGUCGCGGAAUUCCCGGUGUAGAGGUGAAAUUCGUAGAUAUCGGGAGGAACACCAGUGGCGAAGGCGGCUCACUGGACCGGUACUGACGCUGAGGCGCGAAAGCGUGGGGAGCAAACAGG